UACGGGGGGGGCAAGCGUUGUUCGGAAUUACUGGGCGUAAAGGGCUCGUAGGUGGCCAACUAAGUCAGACGUGAAAUCCCUCGGCUUAACCGGGGAACUGCGUCUGAUACUGGAUGGCUAGAGAUUGGGAGAGGGAUGCGGAAUUCCAGGUGUAGCGGUGAAAUGCGUAGAUAUCUGGAGGAACACCGGUGGUGAAGGCGGCAUCCUGGACCAACACUGACGCUGAGGAGCGAAAGCCAGGGGAGCAAACGGG
rnacentral:rRNA from 1 species